rnacentral:tRNA from 1 species
GCGGGAGUGGCGGAAUCUGGUAGACGCGUCAGACUUAGGAUCUGGUGCCCGAAAGGGCGUGGGGGUUCAAGUCCCCCCUCCCGCA